rnacentral:rRNA from 1 species
AGAGUUUGAUCCUGGCUCAGGAUGAACGCUGGCGGCAUGCCUAAUACAUGCAAGUCGUGCGGAAACACUUCGGGUGUCGAGCGGCGGACGGGUGAGUAACGCGUUAGUAUCUGCCCCAAACUGAGGGAUAGCCCACCGAAAGGUGGAUUAAUACCUCAUGUGGCCUUCGGGUUAAAGACUUCGGUCGGUUUGGGAGGAGCUUGCGUCUGAUUAGUUAGUUGGUGAGGUAAUGGCUUACCAAGACGAUGAUCAGUAGCUGGUCUGAGAGGAUGAUCAGUCACACUGGAACUGAGACACGGUCCAGACUCCUACGGGAGGCAGCAGUAGGGAAUUUUCCACAAUGGGUGAGAGCCUGAUGGAGCAAUGCCGCGUGCCAGACGAAGGCCUUCGGGUCGUAAACGGCUUUUAUGGGGGAAGAUUAUGACGGUACCCCACGAAUAAGCCACGGCUAACUCCGUGCCAGCAGCCGCGGUCAUACGGAGGUGGCAAGCGUUAUCCGGAAUUACUGGGCGUAAAGAGAUGCGUAGGCGGUUUGUUAAGUAGACAAUGAAAUGUUGAGGCUCAACCUCAAAGCUAUUGUCUAAACUAAUAAACUAGAGAAUAAGAGGGGUAACUGGAAUUUCUGGUGUAGGAGUGAAAUCCGUAGAUAUCAGAAGGAACACCAAUGGCGAAGGCAGGUUACUGGCUUAUUUCUGACGCUAAGGCUCGAAAGCGUGGGUAGCGAACGGGAUUAGAUACCCCGGUAGUCCACGCCGUAAACGAUGAAUGCUAGCUAUUUGGAGGUAUCGACCCCUUCAGAAGCGAAGCUAACGCGUUAAGCAUUCCGCCUGGGGACUACGAUCGCAAGAUUAAAACUCAAAGGAAUUGACGGGGACCCGCACAAGCGGUGGAGCGUGUUGUUUAAUUGGAUGAUAAGCCAAGAACCUUACCUAGGUUUGACAUCCUCCGAAGGACUACGAAAGUAGUUUGUGCCUUUUGGAACGGAGUGACAGGUGUUGCAUGGCCGUCGUCAGCUCGUGUCGUGAGAUGUUAGGUUAAGUCCUUCAACGAGCGCAACCCUUAUGUUUAGUUGGAUUUUUCUAAACAGACUGCCUCGGUAACGGGGAGGAAGGAGGGGAUGAUGUCAGGUCCGUAUUACCCUUACACCUAGGGCCACAAACGCGCUACAAUGGCCGGUACAACGGGCAGCUACGUCGCGAGACUUUAGCUAAUCUCAUCAAUGCCGGUCCCAGUUCGGAUUGCAGGCUGAAACUCGCCUGCAUGAAGUCGGAAUCGCUAGUAACCGUGGGUCAGAACACCACGGUGAAUACGUUCCCGGGUCUUGUACACACCGCCCGUCAUGUCACGAAAGCUGGAAGCACCCGAAGUGUCGCCCGAGGCGACCCCAAGGUGAGACCAGUGAUUGGGAUAAAGUCGUAACAAGGUAACCGUA